rnacentral:piRNA from 1 species
UGGUAUGUGAGAUCUCUCUCUGAUAU